rnacentral:sRNA from 1 species
GCCGGGCGCCGUGGCUCACGCCUGUAAUCCCAGCGGCUGGGGAGGCUGAGGCAGGAGGAUGUUGAGUUCAAAGCCAGCCUCAGCAACAGCAAGGCCCUAAGCAAUUCAGCGAGACCCUGUCUCUA